GUCAAAUUAGAUAUUUAUUUAUUCAGAAAAGAAGAGAAAAUAUAGAUACACUAAUAAGUGCAAUCAAUAAUUAUUACUUUACUCUAAGGGUGCGUUUGGUUCGAGUUAUCCUGCCAGGAUUACAAGCAAUCAUGUCAGGAUAACUGUGUUUGGUUAAUCCGCUAUGUAAUCUAGUCUUUAAUGUAGCAUUACAAAUCGAGCAGGAUUACAUCGAAAAUAUUAAUGGGAGGGGGGUCGUGUAUCUUGCAUUACUGAAACCCGUUAAUACUACAUAUUAUGUAAAAUGACAAUUUUACCCUCCAACAACCCUAAUCUAAUUAACAGCACUAUUUUCAUCUCUCUCUCUCGCCUUCCCCCCUCUCUCUCGCACACCGCUUUCUCUCGCUCUCUCUCUCUCUCGACGUCUCUCUCUCUCUCUCUCUCGCACGAACACGUAUCGUCUUCUAUUGCGUCGUCCUCCCAAGUAAUCAUCACAAUCUCCUUCCCUCCAUUCGUCAUUUUCGCAAAAAAUAAUAUUCAAAUGACCACAACAAGGGUAAUUUUGAAAAAAACUAUACUUUUAUGUCAGGAUUACUAAAUUUUAUAGACUGAACCAAACGUAUUAAUGCUAUAAACACUGUAAUCUAGUAUUACAUUAUUGCAUUAAACCAAACGCGCUAAUGUAGCAUCAGUAGUAAUCUCACGCCGAAAUCCAAGAUAUCUGGAUAUAUCGAGUUACUUUGUAAUAUUACAUAACUCGAACCAAACGGGUCCUAAGGGUGCGUUUUGUUCGCAUUAUGAAAGAUUACUAGGAAUGAAAAGAUGUCCGAGAAUCUUAUUCCUAUUCAUCCUAUUACUAAGAAUAUGGAAUUCCUGUGUUUGGUUCGCACGGUAAUAUUAUUUAGCCAUGUUAUUUAAUAUUACAAAAAAUAUACAAUUAAUUUAUUUAUUUUUUAAUUAAUUUUAGAUAAUGUUACUAAAAGUUUCAAUAUCUUUUUAGAAAAAAGGGGGAGAGAGUAUAAUUUAGAGAGAGAGAACAUAAUUAAAAAAAAAAAAUAGAGUCGAAAUUAGAGGGGUAAGAGAAUUGAAAUUUUAGAAAGAGAGAGAGAAAAAGCUUAGUUUAGAGAGAGAAAAAAAAAGUUAAAUUUUAGAGAGAAAGAUAAGUUUAGAGAGAGAUAUGAGGUUAGAGUGUAAAAAAAAAUAAUAUCAAUUAGCCGGCGGAUAGGGAGAAAGAAAGAGAUUAGACAUAUUAUAAUUAUCCAAAUCCAUUAAUAUGAGGAUGCACAUCCUCCCUCAAGGGAAUAAGAUUAGUACUUUGGGGUGAAUCUUAUUCUCAAGUGAAUCCAAUAUUACAAACUAGAUUAUUUAGUACGUUUAGCCAAACACCGUCAUAUUUUUUUAUUCCUAUUGGAUUACUAUGAAUCUUUAAAAGAUAGCGCGAACCAAGUGCACCCUAAGUUAAAAAUCCAUAUGAUAGCGUGCUCUCAUUCUUAUCUCCUUAAAAAAUAUCUUUUUUUUAAAAUAUAACUAAGUUUUCAAAUCGAUCCUUCUAAAAUUUAAAAUUUUUCUAAUGAAUCCUCAAAGGGUAGAGGACUAUUCCAAUAGUAAAUUAGAUAAUAAGGAGAGGCAAAUUAAAAAAUGAGGAUAAUAGCCCACAGUUUUGAGGGGCAAAUAAUAUUUUAUCUGUACAGCAUGCUCAUCAAAUUAGAUAUUAUUUAUUUAUGGAAAAAUUUCAAAUACCAUCCUUGUGGUUUUGUCUUAUUUUAUUUUAGUACCCUAUGAUUUAAAAUGUGUCGCUUUACUAUCCCGUGAUUUUAUUUUUCUUUUUUUAUUAUCUCUCUAUUAAUUUGUUUUGUUAAAUCAGUGUUAAAGUUAAAACUAAAAGGUACUAAAGUGAAUAUUCGAUAAACAUGCGUGGGAUAUCUGAAUUUUUUUUGUAUAUAAUUUAACGAAAUGUUAACGGAGGAGCUCAGAAAAAGAGAAAAAUGAAACUAUAUGAUACUAAAUUGAUACACUUUAAACCACGGGAUACUAAAAUGAGAAAUACGAAACUAUACGGGUGGUAUUAAUUUGAAGUUUACCCUUCAUUCAAGACUUUUUUUUUUCAAAACGACCCUAUAAAAUUUUUAAAUUAGAUAAAUAAUUCUAUAAAAAAUUUUUUGGCAAGUUAAUCCUUCUUUUUGCCAUAUAGGAGCCAUAUUGUAAUUUUCUCUUAAAAAGGGUGAACAAUUCAUCGUCUUCCUAAUUUUUCACAAAUACUGUGAAUCAUUCGCUUAUUUAUUAUUUCUUUUUGUAUCUCAUACAUAAUCCUAAUAACCAUAUAAAAAUUUCAACAAAUCAUAUAUAUUUUUAACAACUUGAAAAUCCUAAUAAUGUACCCAUACAAUCCCAUAUAAUCUUAACAACUUAAAAAUCCUAAUAAUCUAUCAGUACAAUCGUAACAAUCAAAUAAAAUUAUAAUAAUUCACAUAUAAUUCUAACACAAGCUCACUUUUUUUUAUUUUUCAUAUAAUUUACAUAUAAUUUUAACAAUUAUGAAGAAGAUGAAUCGUUAACCGUUUUAAAGAAUGCAGGAAAUAGGAGGCUUUCAAAAUACGGUGAAUGAUUCACCUCGUUUGAAAAAAAAAAAAAAAUUCACUUUACCAAAUAUAAAUUUGGCACGAUUAUUUCGCAAAUUAUAAAGUUUAAAGUUUUAAAGAGUUAUUUUU
rnacentral:lncRNA from 1 species